GUCCGCACGAACGCAACCCUUCGUGUUUAGUUGCACCGGCGUGAUAAACGUCGAGCACUCUAAACAGACUGCCCGUGACAAGCGGGAGGAAGGUGGGGGAGUGACGUCAAGUCAGUAUGGCCCUUACGCCCAGGGCUGCACACGUGCUACAAUGGCCGGUACAGAGGGCUGCAAGACCGCGAGGUGGAGCAAAUCCCAUAAAACCGAUCGUAGUCCGGAUCGCAGUCCGCAACUCGACUGCGUGAAGUCGGAAUCGCUAGUAAUCGUGAAUCAGAAUGUCACGGUGAAUACGUUCCCGGGCCUU
rnacentral:rRNA from 1 species